rnacentral:rRNA from 1 species
UGGUCAAGUUAUUAAGGGUGCAGGGCGGAUGCCUUGGCACUAGGAGCCGAUGAAGGACGUGAUAAGCUGCGAUAAGCUUCGGGGAGUUGCACGUAAACUUUGAUCCGAAGAUUUCCGAAUGAGGAAACUCACUUAGAGUAAUGUCUAAGUAUCAUUAAGUGAAUACAUAGCUUAAUGAGGGGAACUCAGGGAACUGAAACAUCUAAGUACCUGAAGGAAGAGAAAGAAAUUCGAUUCCGUAAGUAGCGGCGAGCGAACGCGGAUUAGCCCAAACCAAUAAAGUUUUCUUUAUUGGGGUUGCGGACAUAUCAUAACGAAGAGGUAUCGUAAUUGAAGAGGUUUGGAAAGACCCACCACAGAAGGUAAUAGUCCUGUAUGUUAAACGAGAAGACUUCAGAUAUGAUCCAGAGUACCACGGGACACGUGAAACCCUGUGGGAAGCAGGAGGGACCACCCUCCAAGGCUAAAUACUACCUAGUGACCGAUAGCGUAUAGUACCGUGAGGGAAAGGUGAAAAGAACCCCGGGAGGGGAGUGAAAUAGAACCUGAAACCCUGCACUUACAAGCUGUGGAAGCACAUUUCUUGUGUGACCGCGUACUUUUUGUAGAACGGGCCAACGAGUUACGUUAAGUAGCAAGGUUAAGCACUUAAGGUGCGGAGCCGUAGCGAAAGCGAGUUUUAACUGAGCGUUCAGUUACUUGACGUAGACCCGAAACCGGGCGACCUACCCAUGAGCAGGAUGAAGCGAAAGUAAAAUUUCGUGGAGGUCCGAACCCACGAGCGUUGAAAAGCUCGGGGAUGACUUGUGGGUAGCGGUGAAAUUCCAAUCGAGCCCGGAGAUAGCUGGUUCUCCCCGAAAUAGCUUUAGGGCUAGCCUCAAGGUGAGAGAUACGGAGGUAGAGCACUGAAUGUCCUAGGGGGUAUUGCACCUACCGAAGACUAUCAAACUCCGAAUGCCGUCAUCUUAUACUUGGGAGUCAGACUGUGGGUGAUAAGAUUCAUAGUCGAAAGGGCAACAGCCCAGAUCGUCAGCUAAGGUCCCUAAAUGUAAGUUAAGUGGUAAAGGAUGUGGGAUUGCACAGACAACCAGGAUGUUGGCUUAGAAGCAGCCAUUCAUUCAAAGAGUGCGUAAUAGCUCACUGGUCGAGUGAUCCUGCGCCGAAGAUUUCCGGGGCUAAAACUUACUACCGAAGCUACGGCAUCAGUAAUGAUGGGUAGGGGAGCUUCCCAUACGGGUUGAAGCAUGACCGUAAGGACAUGUGGACAGUAUGGGAGUGAGAAUGUUGGCAUGAGUAGCGAGAUGUGGGUGAGAAUCCCACAGGCCGUAAACCCAAGGUUUCCAGGGGAAGGUUCGUCCGCCCUGGGUUAGUCGGGACCUAAGCUGAGGCCGAAAGGCGUAGGUGAUGGACAACAGGUUGAUAUUCCUGUACUACCGAUAACCGUUUGAGAGAAGGGAUGACACAGUAGGAUAAGCUAAGCACACUGUUGGUUAUGUGUGCCCAAGCAUUGAGGCAGUCAAAGCAGGCAAAUCCGCUUUGAUAAUGCUGGGAUGUGAUGGGGAGCGAAAUUUAGUAGCGAAGUAGCUGAUUUCACACUGUCAAGAAAAGUCUCUAUCGAGGUUAAAGGUACCCGUACCGCAAACCGACACAGGUGGGUGAGGAGAGUAUCCUAAGGCCAGCGAGAGAACUGUUGUUAAGGAACUCGGCAAAAUGACCCCGUAACUUAGGGAUAAGGGGUGCCACCAUCCGGUGGCCGCAGAGAAUAGGCCCAAGCGACUGUUUACCAAAAACAUAGGUUUCUGCUAAGUCGCAAGACGAUGUAUAGGAGCUGACGCCUGCCCGGUGCUGGAAGGUUAAGGGGAUCUGUUAGAGCAAUCGAAGCAGUGAACUUAAGCCCCAGUAAACGGCGGCCGUAACUAUAACGGUCCUAAGGUAGCGAAAUUCCUUGUCGGGUAAGUUCCGACCCGCACGAAAGGCGUAACGAUUUGGGCACUGUCUCAACAACAGACUCGGUGAAAUUGUAAUUCCGGUGAAGAUGCCGGAUACCUGCGACAGGACGGAAAGACCCCAUGGAGCUUUACUGUAGCUUGACAUUGGGUCUUGGUACUACAUGUACAGGAUAGGUGGGAGGCUUUGAAACCAGGACGCCAGUUUUGGCGGAGCCAUCCUUGGGAUACCACCCUUGUAGUACUGGGACUCUAACCAUAGGCCAUGAAUCUGGUCUUGGGACACUGUCAGGUGGGCAGUUUGACUGGGGCGGUCGCCUCCCAAAAGGUAACGGAGGCGCUCAAAGGUUCUCUCAGUACGGUCGGAAAUCGUACGUAGAGUGUAAAGGCAAAAGAGAGCUUGAUUGCAAGACAUACAGGUCGAGCAAGGAUGAAAAUCGGACUUAGUGAUCCGGUGGUUCUGCGUGGAAGGGCCAUCGCUCAACGGAUAAAAGCUACCCUGGGGAUAACAGGCUUAUCUCCCCCAAGAGUCCACAUCGACGGGGAGGUUUGGCACCUCGAUGUCGGCUCAUCACAUCCUGGGGCUGUAGUAGGUCCCAAGGGUUGGGCUGUUCGCCCAUUAAAGUGGUACGCGAGCUGGGUUCAGAACGUCGUGAGACAGUUCGGUCCCUAUCCGUCGCAGGCGUAGGAAAUUUGAGAAGACCUGUCCUUAGUACGAGAGGACCGGGAUGGACGUACCUCUGGUGUACCAGUUGUUCUGCCAAGGGCAUGGCUGGGUAGCUAUGUACGGAAUGGAUAAGCGCUGAAAGCAUCUAAGCGCGAAGCCAACUUCAAGAUAAGAUUUCCCACCGCAAGGGUAAGACCCCAGAAAGACUAUCUGGUUGAUAGGUCGAAGGUGUAAGUGCAGCAAUGUAUUUAGCUUAUCGAUACUAAUAGGUCGAGGACUUGACCAAU